CAUCCCUAUGAAGAAUGAUGUAAAUUUGAAAGUAGUGAACUGAUCUCCAUUGAUGAGUACUGAUUCCGAGGGAUU